rnacentral:rRNA from 1 species
CCACCCUGAACACACCCGAUCCCGUCUGAUCUCGGAAGCUAAGCAGGGUCGGGCCUGGUUAGUACUUGGAUGGGAGAAACACAGGUC